AUUAAACGCUGGCGGCAGGCUUAACACAUGCAAGUCGAACGAGUGGCGGACGGGUGAGUAAUGCUUGGGAAUCUAGCUUAUGGAGGGGGAUAACUACGGGAAACUGUAGCUAAUACCGCGUACCAUAGGAUGAGCCCAAGUGGGAUUAGGUAGUUGGUGAGGUAACUGCUCACCAAGACGACGAUCUCUAGCUGGUCUGAGAUGAUGACCAGCGACACUGGUACUUAGACACGGUCCAGACUCUUACGGGAGGCAGCAGUGGGAAAGAUUGCGCAAUGGGGUAUACCCGGACGCAGCAAUGCCGCGUGAAUGAAGAAGGCUUUGGGGUUGUAAAGUACUUUAAUUCGGGAGGCGUUACCGACAGAAGAAGCACCGGCUAACUCCGUGACAGCAGCCGCGGUAAUUC
rnacentral:rRNA from 1 species